AGAGGUGCCAGGGACCAGCCCAUCUCCUCCCUAGCUGCUGGGGCCUAAUCUUAAGUGACGACCUUCCCUGUCACUCCCUGUCAACAAUCCAGUGGGGAAAGGCACAAACCUGCCUCCACACUUCAAUAGCUUCAGACUUUGUAGGUGGAGCCAGGGCUUGCGAAGGAGGGCCUUAAGGAAUCGCUCCCUCCUACAAAGUGACACUAGACAAAGGAAUUCCCUCAGGGAUGCAAGGGCAGCCCCUCCUUUGUUGGUCCUGGUCCAAGCAUCGGGUAAAGCUGACCAGAAGCAAGGUUUGGGGACCCGGAAGUGUUCCACAAUCUGCUGCAGAGCUAUUGCCCCUCCUACCCACGAGGAAAAGCCCUUUUGAAGAAUGGGUCCUGGGAAACUGGGAUGUCCAUGUGCAGAGGAAUAAGAUUUGACCCUUAUAUCGUUUUCGAAUAUUAGCUCAAAGUGGACUGAAGAUCGAAUGCAAGACUUCAAUCUAUUAAAUCCUUACAGAAAAACCUAGAAUGAAAACUUCAUGCUGGAUAUGGCCCUGACUUUGUGCCCAGCACGUCACAAUCUUAGUUCAUUGCUGAGAUUACAGCAAGGGCCAUUGGAAGAAGAAUGUGGAUGCAAACUCCAGUCCUGCUUCCUAUCAGCUGUUAGAAGGUGCCCAGAUUUCCCUGGAGGCUAAAGCAGGGUCUGAACACAUUGGCUAGGCUGUUCUUCAGCCCAGUCAAAUCUAGGCAAGCCUCCCACUUAUGACCUCCCUGUUUCCGUCUCCCAAGGAGUGGGGAUUACAGGCUUUGGGCCCAGACCAGAUGAGUAUUAUUCAUUUGUUUAUCUAUCUACCUCUUGAGUCUGGGUCUUACCAUGGUCUUGCCAAGGUUGACCCUGAAUUUCUGGCCUAAAACAAUCCUCCUGCCUCACCCAGUCUCCCAAACCUGGGACUUCAGGUUCCAACCUACAUAUCCCAAUUUUAAAUCCUGUAGCUCCGAACGAAGGUCAGUGCUAGGACAGGAGUUAGAAGCAAUUCUUAUCAAGCCCCUUCUAUCAGGAGGGAAACUGAGAUUACAAAGAGCUAGCAAUUCCUCUGGAGGUAUCCGAACCUUAAGUCCCAAGACCGUUACACCCUUCGCUUUGGGUCUGGCCUCUGGAAUUCACACCUCAAAAAUGACUCUACUGUAGGGUUGCAGAGAUGGCCCAGAGGCUAAGAACACUUGCUACUCUUGAAGAGGAGCUAAAUUUGGUUUCCAGCACCUACAUGGUUUGCCACUAGUAGUAACUCUACUUCCAGGGAAUCUGAUACCCUCUUUUAGCCUCUAAAGAACACCGUGAUGUGUGUGUGUUUAAUUGUAUGUGUAUGAGUAUAGUCCUUCAGUACAACUCCCUUUUCUUCCCUUCGGCAGGGACAAAGUGGAAAACAAACUAGCUUGCCCGGCCUAGAUUUCCAGGUUGGUUUGCUUUUGUUGUGGUGGUGUUCGGGAUAGACCAGGUGAGUGUUGAGGCCAGUGCUUGGCCCUUGAGCUCCACCCCAGCCUCUCGGCUUCAUAUCUUACACCAGAAAGUGGACCUGAAGCUUCUCCCUUGCUUUUACCACCGUCUGCAUGCAAGGUCUUGGAGGGCAACUAACAUGCAGGUAGCUCUCGCCUUGGAGAACUGUGUGCACAUUGACAGCUGAGAGGGAGGGCUCAGCAAUAGGGAUGACAGGAUGUGACAUGGGUCUGGGUCAAAAGAUAGGGACUGGGAAGGUGCCCAAAGGCACAGAUGGCUGGCAAAGAUGGCUGUGAUCCCUGAAUGACACACUCAGGGGAAAGCACUAGAGAAGAGUUAGGAGUCUGGGUUCUUGUCUUAGCUCCUCCUUCAGCUUGCUAUGAACGGGAGUUACAGAGUUACCAUGUGGGUGGGAACUGAGCUCAUGUCCUAUGUAAGAAGAGCACGUGCUCCUAUUCGCUGAGCUCUGUCUCUGACUCUACUUCUCAACUCUUUAAUAAAGUAAAAACCAAGCUAGGGUGUAGCUCAGUGAUAAGGGUGCUGGCCUAGCAUGUGCAAAGAAAUAAAAAGAAAAAUGAGAGCUACCAACCAUCACUAGCUUGUUGGCAAUAUUAAAACAGGCCAGCUUUUACCUACAAGGCCAUGGUGUAUCAACCUUUGUGUGAGAGGAAUGGAAACCAAGUCGUGUCCUGCAGAACCUCACACCUGGCCUUUCUUGCCACACCAUUCUCACUAUGCCUUUCUUUAGACUCUAUGGAUCUUGGCUUUCAAGAUGGCUCACUGGGAAGACAUACUUGCUGUAAAGCCGGUUGACCUGAGUUCAAUUCUGAGAUGCUUAAGCUGACAUGAAAAAAAAAAAUUCCUGCAAGCUGUAGUGUGCCCUACCUCUCAGUUUCUGCAUGCCUGCUCACACAGAAAUAAAUGUAACAAAAAUCAUACAACCACAAGGGUUCUGCUUAUGAAAAUCCUGAUUAAAAACCAAAAAAUCAAAACCCACCAAAACCCAAAACAAAUCAAACAAACAAACAAAAAAGCAACCACAAAAGAUGUAAUGCUGCCCUGUUUGGCACAGAAGAAUCUUCAUGUGACCUGGGUCAGCUUUUAGCAUUUCCUAGAGCUUAUAGUUAGACUGCUAAAAAGAAAAGGGCUUUCUCUCUCUUUCCACUGCUAUUAGUCAUGGUCACUCCCCCCAAAAUACACACACACACACACACACACACACACACACAUAUUUACACACACACACAUGUGUGUGUGUGUAUAUUUUUUCCUCCAGAAUAGGAGAAAAUGGAGGAAAAGGCAAUGGAAAUAUUAAAUAAAAAAUUUUUAAAAAUUUCCAUGUUAGCUAAAUUACCAUAAGAUUACUAAUAGAUUUUCCUGAUAAGUCGGACCCCGUAUAAAAUAGUAACAAUUUGAGAUAUAUUUAUAUGCUACUAUACUUUGUAAUUUUGUACAUUUCAAACAAUUUUAACAUAUAUAAAACAUUCUCAUGAUAAUUAAGCAUAACUUUUAAGGUUUUUUUGUUUUUAACUGAAGUCGUUGAAAGUAGUUUUAAUUCUGGUUGUGAAGGUGAAGUAGAUCUGAGAUGGUUAAAGCUCAGCAGGUGUCCAGGAGCCCAGAGGCGCAAGGCUGGGCCCUAUAUGAACCUCUGAUGAGCUUUCCUGGGCUUUACAGUGUACACUGCAUUAAAUGCUAGCCAAAGUGGGCUAUGAGGAGAUUUUGAACAGCUCAGUACAUUGCUCACUAUGCAGCAGUUCUGUGGACGAAUCAGGAAUAUUAUUUUUAUUUAUCAAACAGAAAAGAAAGAAAAACAAAUAAACAACAGCAACUACAAAACC
rnacentral:lncRNA from 1 species